UUUGAGUUUUGAGCUAGGUAAUUUAAUUUAGUUUUAUGUGGUAAAAAUAAAGACUGUUGUUUAAAAAUUAGAGCUGGCAAAUGAAGGCCAGUGGCAAAAUUACAGCUUUUUGCAAAGAGGGCAAUAAAGGAGGAUUGUGAAAAGUGACAGGUUAUAUUUGUGUCAGAUCAUUUCAUAGCCAAUAUAUAACUUGAAAGCCAAUAUAAAACUAAAAAAUAACAACUGUAUAAAAUAACAAAUACAAUGUUUCUUUGCAUUUAUUUUGAAUUUAUUGGGUUCACGAGUAGGGUACUUUUUUACUGUGGAUGACCAUGGUCGUCACCUACCACCUAAGGCCAUUUUUGACCAAGGAAAAACCCUACCUGUUAACCAAUCAGGUUUGAUUCUCCCCUCCCUACAAGCGCGCAGUGCAUAGAUAAUAAAACACAAGUGUUAAAGCACAAAUAUGAAGUGGUCUGUAGUUGACUAUUUUAAAAGACAGAUUGACAAAUAACAGUACGAUUCAUCAACUGAGGUCAUUAUGCAUGAUCAUUAUGAUUACUAUUAAAAAGGGUGCUACCAAAUUGUAAAUUGGUGUGACCAAUUCAGAAAGUGAGUCGCACCAGUGCGACCAGUGGGAAUAAUUAGUCUAGAGCCCUACCUGUAAAUAUUACCUCUUUGGAUAUAUUAAGUUUUAAAGGCGUUUAUUGGCAGAAACAUAAGAUAUGCUUAUCAUUGUUUUCCAGCAUACCAUACAAACAUGAGGAAAAAUAAUCUACAAGUACAGAAGCAGCAAACUGUGCAAAACAAAAUUUGUCACUGCCAAAACUUAUGGCCAUGACUGUGUUUGUUGAUUGUGUGCACGCCUUGGCGUUAGAAAUGUUUAAAAAAAAUCAACAAAUGCUCUGAAAGCGAUCCACAAAUGCGUGCAGCUAUCCACAAAUAAAUGCUAUCAGAAUAUAUUAAAAAAUAUAUUAUUUGCAAAUCUCAUUGUAUUUGUUAAUUUCCUUCCUUUUUGUGGAACGUCUAAUGUAUAUUUAUGGUUCGCAUAUGUGUGGAUUUGAAAAUUGUUUGUGAAAUCUACAUUUAUUUGCGGAUCAUAGUAAAUUUAUUUAGAAUAAUCCAACAAUUUUGACCCCAUAGCUCUCCUCUCUUUGUCGCGAUGAGUGUAAAUAUUUUGUUCACAUUUUGUCUCAAAAAUCAUCUAAUGGCAGUAAAUUAUGGCAUAAAUGUAAUCUUCGGGUCAACUUUUAAUGUAGGCGAACUGGACAUGGAAAACUUCUCGAAUUUGAUUUUCUUACUUGUUAAUGUGACAUGUAACUGAGUUUUCUGUUUUUACUAAGCACAGUUGUAUUUUUUAUGCUAACACUUUAUAUUGCACCUUUGACUUCUUUCGCUGGUGUGCUUCCUUUUUUUAAUAAAUGUAAUUUUCUUUCUGGUUUCCCAGAUUAUGAAGCCAUCGUCAAGCUCUCUGAUGGUUUUAAUGGAGCUGAUUUGAGGAAUGUGUGUACUGAGGCUGGAAUGUUUGCCAUUCGUGCUGAUCGUGAUUAUGUGACUCAAGAGGAUUUCAUGAAGGCUGUUAGGAAGGUGGCAGAUUCUAAGAAGUUGGAGUCCAAGUUGGACUACAAACCAGUAUAAAACCACAUUUUGUGUGAAGUAAAAACGUCAGGGUUUUUGUUCGGUAAUCAAUAUACUGACCAUGGACACAAUUUUUUUCCAACAUUUAAGAGCGUUCUGAUAUUGUAUUUCCAUUUUUACCUUUGCGUAACAGUUGUUUAAUUGCAUAGCUCCAAUUUGAUUAAAGAUGUCACCUGUUGGCCAUGUAUGUUAAACAAAAAAUUAUAUGACAUUAGAAAUCUU